AGGACAAAACCACUGGCAAAGA
rnacentral:miRNA from 1 species